rnacentral:rRNA from 1 species
ACGUAGGUGGCAAGCGUUGUCCGGAAUUACUGGGUGUAAAGGGAGCGCAGGCGGACCGGCAAGUUGGAAGUGAAAUCUAUGGGCUCAACCCAUAAAUUGCUUUCAAAACUGCUGGCCUUGAGUAGUGCAGAGGUAGGCGGAAUUCCCGGUGUAGCGGUGGAAUGCGUAGAUAUCGGGAGGAACACCAGUGGCGAAGGCGGCCUACUGGGCACCAACUGACGCUGAGGCUCGAAAGCAUGGGUAGCAAACAG